GACACAGUACCCCUCUCUUUUUAAAUUUAGCAGCACAUGUUAUGGAAUACUCAUGGACAGUCUUUGGUUGCGGAAUAUGAUGAGACUUUACCAUCCUCACACCAAUUUCCUCAACUAAAGGUAUAAUGCUUUGAAAUAAGACCUGGAUAAAGGAAAAAACUCUCAGACAACACUUUGCAGCUUAGUGCCCACUCAAGAAAAGAGGCAGAAUAAAUCUUUUUUCUUUUUAAAGUGUGUAUUGAAAACUAAUUACAGUAAUUGUUCUCUCUCUUACACUUUGUGUCUACUGAGGGCUACCCACUUUGAAACUUGCCUUUCUCAGACAUAAAAGGAAGCUGCGCUUUAAAACAGGUCUGGGAACCUCAGGUCUUGAACCAGAGGCUUAAUUUGGCUCUCCAGGCCUCUCUUUCCUGCCCUCAUAACUAUGCCCAGGUCAUUCCCCUCAUCAGGCCAUGCCCCCCAGCCCUGCUCCACACCCUCUUUGAAUGCUUUUGCCUAGUUGGAACUUAUUCUUAACUAUAAUGCCUCUUGCCUUCCUGGAUCUAGAGAUACGUGUGGAAUGUGUGCAUAGAAACCUCUGACUUGUGUGUUGCUGGAAUGCAGUCUAUUGUAUAAAGGUAAGAACCACAUCCUUUCCUCUACCCGUUUUUGACUCUGGCCUUCUCUCCUUCUCUCACUUCCAAAGAGACUGAUUUUCAGAUCUUGCAGGUUCUGGUUUGCUAUCUUGUUUCCUUAUCCUACCUUACAAAUCAGCCUUUUUUUUCAAAUCAGUGAAGAAAGGCGAGAGAAUGAACCAAAAACAAGAAAAAAGGAGAGGAAAAGAAAGUGAGGGAGUUGCAAGACACGCCCCCCCCUCUCAGGGAACCUGACAUGACUCUGUAAAUAGAAUGCAGUUCUUCACAGUGAUCAAAUUAGCUCUCAAGGAAUCAUCCUAAACAUUCCACUGAGAAACUAAAACGGCUUGUCCUAUUAGAUUGUCUGUGGCAGUCUUUCUUUUGAAAGUGCUCUCGCCUGAUCUGACCUCAGAGUAUCAGUUUAAAAUAGUGUAAGGAAGUCCUAGCAAGUCUAAGGUACACUUAGUGGUGAAUAAUUGAGUAAGGGAACAGUUCACCUUCGACAAAUAAAGAAUAGAAGUAAGGAAAGAGUCAAAAUCCUUGUAAAGAGGCUUAUUGGGAUUGUUCAAGCUGCAAUAUCAUUAUUGCCCUAACACACCAUUCUAGCUUUCAAGAAAGGAGAUGAGGGAAAGGAAACUCAAAGCCUACUCUCUUUUGUAGGCAUAAUCCACCAUCUGCAUCCAGAUUCACAAGCAGACUGCACCUGCCUGAUGCACGUUCCUAUAAUUUUGUGACACUAGGCGACUGCUUCAAUUGCCUAGUAGGUUGAGCCUCUCCUACAUACAGCUAACAGACAGUUCUGACUAGCUUCUUGCAUGGUAGCAGAGAGAAAAUCCAAAUGACCCAAAUGAAGGUUUCUCUGUGGAGGGCCUGCUGGGAAAUUUCAACAUUGUGACAAAUCCAUAAUAUCAAAGUGAAAGAUUUUACAUGUUAGUAAAAUACUCUGCAAGAAGCCAUCCUUUUGCAAAGACCAUUUAUCAUUUAUGGAAAGUUGCUGAGUAAAUCCUUUUGACUUUGCACCAUCACAUUCAUCCUUGUUCCAACUAAUGUAAUUCAAACAUAGUAUUGAUAUUUCUCCCCAGCUUUUUAGACUGUGGGGGAAGGGUCCAUCUAAAGCUGGUGUCACACUGUGUUUGAUGCAAGUAAGUUUCAUAUUUGUCUCUUUAUAGAAGUAUGCAGAAGAUGUACUUAGCCAUAUUGAUCUUUGAGGAAAUGUGGACAAGGUAGAUAAUGUGAAACUUUUAUUGCCAUUACUGACUGUUGCACAGGCUCUGGAAAUUUUUCCCGUUAUUUAACUAGAUUUGUUGCAGUACUUUUUUGCUGUGAUACUAAAAAAAAAAAAAAAGCAGCAAAGCUUCUGCAGCCAUGACACCACUUCCUCUAGAGUAGCACACUGUAGUCAGUGGAAUUGCUUCAAAACUAAAUUAGAUAUUUUAGGCUGCUCUUUUUAAUAUCUCCGUUGGAUUAAUUUAACAAGAAUAUGGGGGUGCAAUUGUGCCCUCACAAUUCACUUAUUUAAAAUUAUUUAUAUCCUAGCUUUGCUAUCCUGCCUGGGGAGAUAAGAGUGGUGUGUAAUAAAGCACAAUAAAAUACAAACAAAGAAUAUAAAACAGGAAAGCGUAAAAGAAAGGUACAUUUCUAAACACAAGCAGUGAAGGAGCCAUGUGGCUCUCCCAGAGGAGGAAUGCCACCGCCGCUUAAAUGCUCACUGACCUGGAGGAAUGGAGAAAAGCUGCUUUUUCUGGAAAAUUCCUUUCCAUAAUUAUUUUGGCUCC